rnacentral:rRNA from 1 species
UACGAAGGGGGCUAGCGUUGCUCGGAAUCACUGGGCGUAAAGCGCACGUAGGCGGAUUGUUAAGUCAGGGGUGAAAUCCUGGAGCUCAACUCCAGAACUGCCUUUGAUACUGGCGAUCUCGAGUCCGGGAGAGGUGAGUGGAACUGCGAGUGUAGAGGUGAAAUUCGUAGAUAUUCGCAAGACACCAGUGGCGAAGGCGGCUCACGUGGCCCG